GAUGAACGCUGGCGGCGUGCCUAAUACAUGCAAGUCGAACGCUGAAGGAGGAGCUUGCUCUUCUGGAUGAGUUGCGAACGGGUGAGUAACGCGUAGGUAACCUGCCUGGUAGCGGGGGAUAACUAUUGGAAACGAUAGCUAAUACCGCAUGACAACAGUUAUUGCAUGAUAACUGUUUAAAAGGGGCAACUGCUCCACUACCAGAUGGACCUGCGUUGUAUUAGCUAGUUGGUGAGGUAACGGCUCACCAAGGCGACGAUACAUAGCCGACCUGAGAGGGGGAUCGGCCACACUGGGACUGAGACACGGCCCAGACGCCUACGGGAGGCAGCAGUAGGGAAUCUUCGGCAAUGGACGGAAGUCUGACCGAGCAACGCCGCGUGAGUGAAGAAGGUUUUCGGAUCGUAAAGCUCUGUUGUAAGAGAAGAACGAGUGUGAGAGUGGAAAGUUCACACUGUGACGGUAUCUUACCAGAAAGGGACGGCUAACUACGUG
rnacentral:rRNA from 1 species